UAGGGAAUCUUCCACAAUGGACGCAAGUCUGAUGGAGCAACGCCGCGUGAGUGAAGAAGGUUUUCGGAUCGUAAAGCUCUGUUGUUGGUGAAGAAGGAUAGAGGUAGUAACUGGCCUUUAUUUGACGGUAAUCAACCAGAAAGUCACGGCUAACUACGUGCCAGCAGCCGCGGUAAUACGUAGGUGGCAAGCGUUGUCCGGAUUUAUUGGGCGUAAAGCGAGCGCAGGCGGAAGAAUAAGUCUGAUGUGAAAGCCCUCGGCUUAACCGAGGAACUGCAUCGGAAACUGUUUUUCUUGAGUGCAGAAGAGGAGAGUGGAAUUCCAUGUGUAGCGGUGGAAUGCGUAGAUAUAUGGAAGAACACCAGUGCGAAGGCGACUCUCUGGUCUGCAACUGACGCUGAGGCUCGAAAGCAUGGGUAGCGAACAGG
rnacentral:rRNA from 1 species